UGCGAACUCCUACGGGAGGCAGCAGUGGGGAAUAUUGCACAAUGGGCGCAAGCCUGAUGCAGCGACGCCGCGUGAGGGAUGGAGGCCUUCGGGUUGUGAACCUCUUUCGCUCAUGGUCAAGCCGCAACUCAUGGUUGUGGUGAGGGUAGUGGGUAAAGAAGCGCCGGCUAACUACGUGCCAGCAGCCGCGGUAAUACGUAGGGCGCGAGCGUUGUCCGGAAUUAUUGGGCGUAAAGGGCUUGUAGGCGGUUGGUCGCGUCUGCCGUGAAAUCCUCUGGCUUAACUGGGGGCGUGCGGUGGGUACGGGCUGGCUUGAGUGCGGUAGGGGAGACUGGAACUCCUGGUGUAGCGGUGGAAUGCGCAGAUAUCAGGAAGAACACCGGUGGCGAAGGCGGGUCUCUGGGCCGUUACUGACGCUGAGGAGCGAAAGCGUGGGGAGCGAACAGGAUUAGAAACCCCGGUAGUCCAGAAGUG
rnacentral:rRNA from 1 species